rnacentral:rRNA from 1 species
GAUGAACGCUGGCGGCGUGCCUAAUACAUGCAAGUCGAGCGAACAGACGAGGAGCUUGCUCCUUUGACGUUAGCGGCGGACGGGUGAGUAACACGUAGGUAACCUACCUAUAAGACUGGGAUAACUUCGGGAAACCGGAGCUACUACCGGCUAAUAUUUCGAACCGCAUGGUUCAAUAGUGAAAGAUGGCUUUGCUAUCACUUAUAGAUGGACCUGCGCCGUAUUAGCUAGUUGGUAAGGUAACGGCUUACCAAGGCAACGAUACGUAGCCGACCUGAGAGGGUGAUCGGCCACACUGGAACUGAGACACGGUCCAGACUCCUACGGGAGGCAGCAGUAGGGAAUCUUCCGCAAUGGGCGAAAGCCUGACGGAGCAACGCCGCGUGAGUGAUGAAGGUCUUCGGAUCGUAAAACUCUUUUAUUAGGGAAGAACAAAAGUGUAAGUAACUGUGCACGUCUUGACGGUACCUAAACAGAAAGCCACGGCUAACUACGUG